GGCCCUGGAUUUGUGAGAGCUGAAGGCAGGACUGAGGUGCAGGCAGCGGGCCCUGGAGUCUGAGCUCUCCGUGGCUGGGCUCACUGCUGAGCCUUGGCGUCUGAUGUGACAGUGACAGGUCUUUGUCCCGCAGCCAGCGGUGCCUGCCGGUCACCACCACUCACAGCCCUGCGUGCAGCCCUGCACUGCGGCAGCCUGGGAGCCCCGGAGCUGUCGCCUCAGCAUUCCUGCAUGGCCUGCGUCUCACCCCACAGCCUCGAGCCCCCAACGCAGCAGGAGGAAACUCUCCUGGAAAAGCAUGACGUGCAGCUGACCAUCGCCCGAGUCAGCGGGGACCCCCACAGCAAAGGUUUCUGCUGUCUGUCCUAGGACUCACACUGAAGAGCCUUAAAGCGUCAUGUGAGGUGAUUGCUCACCACUGUAGGGGGACCCUGAGAAAGUAAGCAGGAAGGAAGGAAGGAAAGAAGGAAGGAAGGAAGAGGGAGAGAGAGAGGUAGACAAGAGGCCCAGAACCUUCCAUCCUGCUCCAGCUUCAUGAGGAGACUCUGUCGUCAGGUUGUACCUAACACCAAGCAGUAGGAGGUCACAGUGAAGUUGUUUGUGGCUUCAGGCUGAGGUGAUGGCUUUAACCCCAGGAGUAGCUGGAUAAUUCCCACAAAUUAUUGGUCACACUUCAAAAGGCAGCUCAGCUAAGGAAGAGAGCACAGGAGAGGCAGACUUCGGUGAGGUCAUAAAAACUUGCAAGUUAUGGAGGGAAGUCUCUUCUUCCAGCUUCCUCCCCAGACGGCCGAAUCACUGCACAAAGGCCUUGGCUUCUCUAGCAAAUCGGUGCCUCUGGACUCACUUCAUUUGGAGUCUGAAAGAUCAGCUGUCUACAUGCACAUGCCACGGUUUAUUGUGCCACAAAACAAGGACUAGAUAAUGACACAGACGAUGAAGCUAAGCCUGGAGAUGUCAAGCGCUGAGACAAAGAUUUAAUUCCAAACCGUGAGCUGCCUCUGUUGCUGUCUGCCUCCCUUCCAGAGCAGCCGGCCCCAUGGAAAGGUACACUAUUACAUCUCGAAAGCACACUAGAGAGCCUGAGCCCCCGGUCAAUGUUAGUGACAGAUCAGGACCCUCAGCUGUCGGGCGGCACUGUGCUGGGUUUCCUGCACGCACUGUGGUGGUUUAAAAACAGGUCUACAAGUUCUUUGCUUCUGCUCCUGUCCAGUCUCCCCUUGAGUGUGAGCUCUUGGGUGACUCACUUGCAAUGACUAGAAUGGCUCAGAAGUGAGUGUGCACAGAGCAGCUGUGUUCGGGGACUUUUUAAACUCUAUUGUGUUAUGCAGGACACUGUGAGCUCCUGCACGACAGUGACCAUACGGUGUUUCAUUCCCAGGACCUUGCACACCUGCUGGCAUAGAAUAACUGCUCAAUAUUUUUAGUAAUAAAAUAAGCAAAUACAUUUCUUUCAUAAGGGGACAAAUGAAAUCAUGUACAAGGCUAUUGCAUGUCUUUAUGAUAUUUACAGCUUUAGAUACAUAGAGUGACACAGAAAUGUGGUCAAAUACUCGUAAGUGAAAUAAAUCAAACUUGCAUGUGUAAAUAUUCUAUUGUCUCCCUAGUGUGAGAAAUUGAAAGAAAUAAUAUAUGUGUUAUAAUAGUUAAAAUAUGUUGGAACUUAGGACCCUGGAAAACCAAGCAAGCAGCUCACCUCCCUGGUAAGCGGUGACGGUGUAGCAGACUACAGCCUUUCCAGGGGGAGAACCACCAGUGUCUCCUGAGAACCGCGCCAUGUUGGAACUUAGGACGCUGGGAAACCAAGCAACCAGCCUGCCUCCCUGCUAAGCAACAGUAAACCUAUUGGUUCACGGCCUAGAGUCAAACAUCCCACUUACCCUUCCCUCCUUCCCUGUCCCCCCACUGGUUAGCAAAUGGGAACCAGAAAUCUGAACAUCUUUUGGGAGGUUGACCAUAGCAAAUAAGGGGGAUUUCCUUCUACUAUCUCUUUGAAGGCAAAUUUUUUUAUAACUGUUUUGCUUUAUUCUGAUUAAUGGUACUGCUCUAUUCAAUAUUCUGUAUUGAUAAAUUCUAUAAUGUUCUGUAUUUCAUUUUAUUUUGAUAUACAUGAUUGAAAGAACAACUAUUGUAAAGAUAAUGAAAUAUACUGUGAUACCUAUUACUAUUAUCCCAGUAACCUGCUGUGAAGUUCUGUACCAAUUUCACUGUACGAUCUUAGUUGGCUUUAUUCUGUCUUGUUAUGUUGUAUUUUACUACUUUCAAAAUUUUAAAAAAUGAAAAAAAAUAGUUAAAAUAGGUACACUACUAAUUACUCUUAGUUCAUUGAAAAGAAAGGUUUGUGCUAAUAUUGUUUGGACAAUGAAGUGCAGAUGUCUUAUACUCUGAGUAACUGAUUUAAAGAUAACAAUUUCAGUGUAUUAACCAUCAUUACCCUCUAAUUAUCAUGUUUUGAAAUUUUGUUAUCUUUUUGUCUUUAAAGUAAAAAAAGAAAUGUGGUCCUGCUUAGGUUUCAGCAGGAGAAAUCCCUAACAACUUGCUGCCAUCUAAGCUUGAAGCUGGGAGUUUGUACAGCAGGCCGCUCACUGUAAAUCCUGUAGUAUUUCCACCUCUGCUAGUUUGUUUCUGGUUUCUGUGACAAAAUAGCUGAGGCUGGGUCCUUUAAAAAGAGCAGAGCCCGAUUCUGCUCACAGAUUCAGAGGCUGACAGUCUGAGAUCAGGCAGCCCCAUCUGUUCACACUCUGGUGUGCGCCUCUGGGCUACAUCACAACGUGGCAGGGCCACACAGAGAAGGGAGAUUGCACCGUGAGGCCGGAAGCCGGGGAGUAGGAGGAGACCAUUCUUGCUCUUUUCACAACAACUUGUUCCCACUCAGGGAGCCCAGAGUUCACCUCCCAGGGCAGCGCCCCAGGGACGGAGCCAUCUUCUUCCACUAGGCCAUCCUAACAACACCAUGCUGGGGACCACACUCCCAGGCCCUGAACCCUUGGGGGACAAAUGCACCCAAGCCAUGGCACUGCUUAAAUGUCAGAACAUUCCAGAUGUUCCUUUAAGUCAAAAUUCUAAUCUUUUCACAAGAAUCAUAAGCUUGUUAGACUUCACAAGAAUUAUAAACACAUACUUAAAAAUCAUUUUCCUGUGAAAGACUUUUCAAAUGUUUGAAUAAAUGAUGAAGCAUUUAAUAAAUGCUAUUUUCUAUGAAA